rnacentral:tRNA from 1 species
GGGGAUUUAGCUCAGCAGCAAAAGCGCCUGCUUUGCAAGCAGGCGGUCGUGAGUUCAAUACCCG